rnacentral:rRNA from 1 species
UAGCUAGUUGGUGAGGUAAAGGCUUACCAAGGCGACGAUCUGUAUCGGGUCUGAGAGGGUGAUCCGCCACACUGGAACUGAGACACGGUCCAGACUCCUACGGGAGGCAGCAGUGGGGGAUUUUGGACAAUGGGGGCAACCCUGAUCCAGCCAUGCCGCGUGGGUGAAGAAGGCCUUCGGGUUGUAAAGCUCUUUCGGCCGGGAAGAAAUCGCAUGGGCCAAUACCCUGUGUGGAUGACGGUACCGGAAUAAGAAGCACCGGCUAACUACGUGCCAGCAGCCGCGGUAAUACGUAGGGUGCGAGCGUUAAUCGGAAUUACUGGGCGUAAAGCGUGCGCAGGCGGUUUUGUAAGACAGGCGUGAAAUCCCCGGGCUUAACCUGGGAACUGCGUUUGUGACUGCAAGGCUAGAGUACGGCAGAGGGGGGUGGAAUUCCACGUGUAGCAGUGAAAUGCGUAGAGAUGUGGAGGAACACCAAUGGCGAAGGCAGCCCCCUGGGUCGAUACUGACGCUCAUGCACGAAAGCGUGGGUAGCAAACAGGAUUAGAUACCCUGGUAGUCCACGCCCUAAACUAUGUCAACUAGGUGUUGGGUGGUAAAACCAUUUAGUACCGUAGCUAACGCGUGAAGUUGACCGCCUGGGGAGUACGGCCGCAAGGUUAAAACUCAAAGGAAUUGACGGGGACCCGCACAAGCGGUGGAUGAUGUGGAUUAAUUCGAUGCAACGCGAAAAACCUUACCUACCCUUGACAUGCCAGGAACUUGCCAGAGAUGGCUUGGUGCCCGAAAGGGAGCCUGGACACAGGUGCUGCAUGGCUGUCGUCAGCUCGUGUCGUGAGAUGUUGGGUUAAGUCCCGCAACGAGCGCAACCCUUGUCGUUAAUUGCCAUCAUUUGGUUGGGCACUUUAACGAGACUGCCGGUGACAAACCGGAGGAAGGUGGGGAUGACGUCAAGUCCUCAUGGCCCUUAUGGGUAGGGCUUCACACGUCAUACAAUGGUCGGUACAAAGGGUUGCCAAGCCGCGAGGCGGAGCCAAUCCCAGAAAGCCGAUCGUAGUCCGGAUUGCAGGCUGCAACUCGCCUGCAUGAAGUCGGAAUCGCUAGUAAUCGUGGAUCAGCAUGUCACGGUGAAUACGUUCCCGGGUCUUGUACACACCGCCCGUCACGCCAUGGGAGCGGGUUCCGCCAGAAGUAGGUAGCCUAACCGCAAGGGGGGCGCUUACCACGGCGGGGUUCGUGACUGGGGUGAAGUCGGAACAAGGUAGCCGUAGGGGAACCUGCGGCUG